rnacentral:lncRNA from 1 species
UGAUAACAAGCAUUACCCAGAAAUGUGUUUUAGCAUAAGAGAGUGGUAGUUACAUCAAACUUGUAACUUUUGGUUUGGCCUUUGUUUGUUUUGUUUUGCAUCUUUGGUUGCCAUUGUGAAGCGUCAAAUUUGUCAUUGUUUCCUGCAAUUUAGAUUUGGACCAAGAAUAAGUUUAAUCCUAUUAAUCAUGUUGGUAUGCCUUGUUUGCUUAAACUUUUGAGUUAAAUUUGUAGUUUAAAUCAGUGUUAUCAAAGGUGAUCGCCUGGGCUGCCUACGUCAUUAGGCUAGACAAGGUAGAUAAAAGUCGCCUUUUGAAGACCUAGGCAAGGUGACUUUAAAGAGGCAAUCGCCUUAGGAUAAGGCACAAGGCAUAGAGGCAAUCGCCUUUGACCAUGAAUUAAGAUUAAACAUACUUAGAUUAUAAUUUCAUUCAAUCUAACAUUGGAUUAAACAAAGUAUAAAAUAAAAUAUUAUAUUAUCAAUCAUAGAGAUAAUAAGAUGGAGGGUUAUCAAUCUAAUCUUGAUGGAAGUAAUAACGAUUUUAAUUUCAAUAAUGACUAUGAUGAUGAUGCCUAAAACUUCUCUAGAAUGUUCAAUCUCUUAUUUUGUUUUUUAUUUUGCUUUUUAGAUGUUUGAAAAAUUAAAAUAUACAUUUAGAUAGGAUGGAUAUCUUUAAACAAUAUGAUGUUUUUUAUAAUAUGAGGUAUAGUAUUUAAUACUUUCAAUAAUUAUUACUAUUUUGUUAAUUUAUAAGACAUCGUGAGUGAUGCAAAAUUAAUAGUGUUGAUUGUUGAAGACAAUACUUAUAUUAGUUGAAUAUCGAAUAGGUAAAUAUAUGUAUAUUUUGUAUCGCCUUACUAUAGUUAGGUUAUCGCCUUGUUUUUCGCCUUUUGCCUUAGGCUAAAAGGAGUCUUAUCACCUUAAUGUCACCUUUUGCUUUUGACAACAUUGGUUUAAAUCCAUGUGUUGAAUCCUUGGCUUUUGAGAGGUCUUAGGUAGUUAGGUUUGAAUCUCACCUGUAGACCCUCAAUUUUGUCCCUUUAGCACAUGUCUUUAAAAUUCGUUUUCAAUGCUCCACAAUAGUUCCUUGGUGGCCCAUGGCUACUCAUACCACUUACCUUUUUUUGAGUCACCUCGGAGACUUUGGUUGAGGGAUUAUUUGACCCCUUAUCGUGACCCUUAGCAGCCCUAUUUUAAACUUAGGCUUUUCAUUCAUUUUUAGGAUAGCUUUUAGGGUAGUCUGCUUAGGCCCACUUAGGCACCCUAGGCCCAUUUAGGCACCCUAGGUCCACUUAGGCACUCUAGGCCCACUUAGGCACCCUAGGUCCACUUAGGCACCCUAGGUCCACUUAGGCACCCUAGGUCCACUUAGGCACCCUAAGCCCAUUUAGGCACCUAGGUCCACUUAAACACCUUAGGCCCAUUUAGGCACCCUAGGUCCACUUAAACACCUUAGGCCCAUUUAGGCACCCUAAGCCCACUUAGGCACCCUAGGCCCACUUAGACACCGUAAGCCCACUUAGACACCCUUGGUCCAUUUAGGCACCCUAGGUCCCCUUAGGCACCUUAGGCCCACUUAGGCCCCCUAGGCCCAUUUAGGCACCCUUGGCCCAUUUAGUUAGGCCCACCUAGUCUCACCUUAGGCCCAUUUAGGCACACUUGACCCAUUAAGACAUUUUUAGCGUUACUUGUAUGACUUGCAUGGUUGCAUGGCUUGUGGGGCUCAGUUUUUAUUUAUUUGUUUAUUUUUAUUUUUAGUUUUAUUUUUAUUAUUAUCAAUCACUUGUUUAUUUUUAUUUGUUAUAUUCCUUUUUAUAUUAUUUUUCUUAGCUUUUUAAUUAACUUAUUUAUUUAUUAUUGUUUUACCAUUUUCUAAUUUAUCUACUCAUUUAUUUAUUCAUUUAGUUAUUUAAUUUAAAAAAAUUUCAUGCUUUUGCGAGGAAACUUACCAUUGAAGUUUAGGGAAAGUGAGACUCUCCUUGAAAGGUUUUGGAGAGGGAGUUUGAAAUUGGGAGGAUUGUUUUUGAAUUGGAAAAUUGGAAAAAGAAGGAAAAAAAUGGGGAAUCUCUCACACCCAUAUAAGGAGUAGACUGCCAUCAUGAGAUAAAAAAAAAAAAAAAAGGAGUUAGAGAUUUUUAUUUUCUAGGGGAUAGAGAGAACAAUAGGAAUUUUUUAGAAGGGGUUUUUUUUUGAGAGAUUCAAGCAUAAAUUAGAAUUUUUUUUUUAAAGAGAGCACUCGGAAUUUUGGAAAAAAGCAAGGGACUUCAGACGGAGAUCGGACUGCCAUUUAAUCAUCAAGAGAGGAUUUUCUCUUUCACUUCAAAGGUUAGUUUUCUAUAUAGUACUUUUAUUUAGCCUAGAUUUUUUUUGGAAAUUUUAGUUUUUGAUUAAUUCUUUGUGUUAAAGUUUAUAUUAUUUUCUUUUUAAAUCCCCAAUUAGUUUAAUUCCAAUCUAUCUUUUAGUUUAAGUUUGUUAAUGAUUUUAAUUCUUAAGUUUAAAUAAUCAUAUUGAAUAAAGUUUGUAUUUUUAAUCCCGAUUAGUUUGAUUUCAAUUCGUUUUUAGUUUAAAUGUAUUCUGUUGAUCUUAAUUCUUGACUUUAAAUAAUCACGUUAAAUAAAGUUUGUAUUUUUAAUCCCAAUUAGUUUGAUUUCAAUUCGUUUUUUUAGUUUAAAUGUAUCUUGUUGAUUUUAAUUCUUUACUUUAAAUAAUCACGUUAAUAAAGUUUGUAUUUUUAAUCCCAAUUAGUUUGAUUUCAAUUCGUUUUUAAUUUAAAUGCAUUAGUUGAUCUUAAUUCUUUGUUUUAAAUAAUCACGUUAAAUAAAGUUUGUAUUUUUAAUCCCAAUUAGUUUGAUUUCAAUUCGUUUUUUUAGUUUAAAUGUAUUUUGUUGAUCUUAAUUCUUAAGUUUAAAUAAUCAUAUUGAAUAAAGUUUGUAUUUUUAAUUCCAAUUAGUUUGAUUUCAAUUCAUUUUUAAUUUAAAUGUAUUUUGUUGAUCUUAAUUCUUUACUUUAAAUAAUCAUAUUGAAUAAAGUUCAUAUUUUUUAUUAUCCCUCAUAAAUUGAGCAUAAUAAUCAAGAAUUAACAUAUGAUUGACUAAACACACAAGUACACCUAGAUUUAAAAAAUAAAAAUAAAUCAAAACUAUACUCAAUUAGAAUUAAAAACAUAAGCUUUAUAUGAUGGGAUUAAGCAAACUAUUGGAUUAAAAUCAUUAACAAGAUUAAAACUAAGCUAUGCUAUAAUUUAAGACAUAAGUUUUAUUUAACAAAAAUUAAUUAAACUAUUAAAUUACAACCAAAAAUGCAUCCAAACUAAAAAAAAGAUAAAUUACAACAAAACUAAAUCGGAAUUAAAAAUAAAUAAAUAAAUAAAUAAACUUUUUCUAAUAAGAUUAUUUUAAACUAAUGAAUUAAAAUCAAUAACACAUUUAGACUAAAUCAUAAAUCAAAACUAAACUAAUGCGGGAUAAAAAAAAUGUAAACUUUAUUUGACAGGAUUAUUUAAACUAAGGAAUUAAAACUACAAACACACUCGAACAAAAAGGUAGGUUAAAACUGAAUUAAUUCAAAAUAUAAAUCUUAUCUAACUGAAUUAUUUGAAGUAAUAAAUUAAAAUUAUAAACAUAUUUAAACUAAUAGAUAAAUUAAAAAUAAACUAAUUUGGGAUAAUAAAAAAUAUGAACUUUAUUCAAUAUGAUUAUUUAAAGUAAGGAAUUAAGAUCAACAAAAUACAUUUAAAUUAAAAACGAAUUGAAAUCAAACUAAUUGGGAUUAAAAAUACAAACUUUAUUCAAUAUGAUUAUUUAAACUUAAGAAUUAAGAUCAACAAAAUACAUUUAAACUAAAAAAAUGAAUUGAAAUCAAACUAAUUGGGAUUAAAAAUACAAACUUUAUUUAACGUGAUUAUUUAAAACAAAGAAUUAAGAUCAACUAAUGCAUUUAAAUUAAAAACGAAUUGAAAUCAAACUAAUUGGGAUUAAAAAUACAAACUUUAUUUAACGUGAUUAUUUAAAAAAAAAAUUAAAAUCAACUAAUGCAUUUAAAUUAAAAACGAAUUGAAAUCAAACUAAUUGGAAUUAAAAAUACAAACUUUAUUAACGUGAUUAUUUAAAGUAAAGAAUCAAGAUCAACAAGAUACAUUUAAACUAAAAAACAAAUUGAAAUCAAACUAAUUGGGAUUAAAAAUACAAACUUUAUUUAACGUGAUUGUUUAAAGUCAAGAAUUAAGAUCAACAGAAUACAUUUAAACUAAAAACGAAUUGAAAUCAAACUAAUCGGGAUUAAAAAUACAAACUUUAUUCAAUAUGAUUAUUUAAACUUAAGAAUUAAAAUCAUUAACAAACUUAAACUAAAAGAUAGAUUGGAAUUAAACUAAUUGGGGAUUUAAAAAGAAAAUAAUAUAAACUUUAACACAAAGAAUUAAUCAAAAACUAAAAUUUCCAAAAAAAAAAUCUAGGCUAAAUAAAAGUACUAUAUAGAAAACUAACCUUUGAAGUGAAAGAGAAAAUCCUCUCUUGAUGAUUAAAUGGUAGCCCGAUCUUCGUCCGAAGUCCCUUGCUUUUUUCCAAAAUUCCGUGUGCUCUCUUUAAAAAAAAAAAAUUAUGCUUUAUGCUUGAAUCUCUCAAAAAAACCCCUUCUAAAAAAUUCCUAUUGUUCUCUCUAUCCCUCAGAAAAUAAAAAUCUCUAACUCUUUUUUUUUUUUUUUUAUGUCAUGAUGGCAGUCUACUCCUUAUAUGGGUGUGAGAGAUUCCCCAUUUUUUUCCUUCUUUUUCCAAUCUUCCCAUUCAAAAACAAUCCUCCCAAUUUCAAACUCCCUCUCCAAAACCUUCUAAGGAGAGUCUCACUUUCCUUAAACUUCAAUGGUAAGUUUUCUUGCAAAAGCAUGAAAUUUUUUUAAAUUAAAUAAUUGAAUGAAUAAAUAAAUGAGUAGAUAAAUUAGAAAAUGGUAAAACAAUAAUAAAUAAAUAAGUUAAUUAAAAAACUAAGAAAAAUAAUAUAAAAAGGAAUAUAACAAAUAAAAAUAAACAAGUGAUUGAUAAUAAUAAAAAUAAAACUAAAAAUAAAAAUAAACAAAUAAAUAAAAACUGAGCCCCACAAGCCAUGCAACCAUGCAAGUCAUACAAGUCACGCUAAAAAUGUCUUAAUGGGCCAAGUGUGCCUAAAUGGGCCUAAGGUGAGACUAGGUGGGCCUAACUAAAUGGGCCAAGGGUGUCUAAGUGGGCUUAGGGUGUCUAAGUGGGCCUAGGGUGCCUAAAUGGGCCAAGGGUGCUUGAGUGGGCUUAGGGUGCCUAAAUGGGCCUAAGGUGUCUAAGUGGACCUAGGGUGCCUAAAUAGGCCUAGGGUGCCUAAGUGGACCUAGGGUGCCUAAAUGGGCCUAGAGUGCCUAAGUGGACCUAGGGUGCCUAAAUGGGCCUAGGGUGCCUAAGUGGGCCUAAGCAGACUACCCUAAAAGCUAUCCUAAAAAUGAAUGAAAAGCCUAAGUCUAAAAUAGGGCUGUCAAGGGUCACAAUAAGGGGUCAGAUAAUCCCUCAACCAAAGUCUCCGAGGUGACUCAGAAAAAGGUAAGUGGUAUGAGUAGCCAUGGGCCACCAAGGAACUAUUGUGGAGCAUUGAAAACGAAUUUUAAAGACAUGUGUUAAAGGGACAAAAUUAAGGGUUUACAAAUAUGCUCCUCUUCGGUAUAGAUCACGAGUGUAGAGAAUGUGAGUAGAAACACGAGUAAUGAGCGGUAUGAAGUGAACUAUACCGAAGAAUUAAAGAAGGACCAGAGAUUUUGUCCUAGCAUAUGAAGAGGUAAGGUCAAAAGAUGGGGUCUCAAUGACAUGGAUGAGACAACUCUACGUGGGGAGGGAAUGGCAAUAAAGAGAGAAAGGUAUGUAACGAGUAGCACAAAGAUGGAAAGAGAUGAAAAGGAUGAUUCAAAGUCAUGGACGAUAUGAAUGAAUCUGGAUCAUGGACAAGGUGAAUGACUUUGGAUCUAGAAUAGGAUAAAUGACUCUGGGUCAUGAGCUCAAGGCUUUAAGCGGAAAGAAUGACUCUAGGUCAAGAUGGAAAACGACUCUAGGUCGAGAGCUCUAGGCUCUAGGUCGAGAGCUCUAGGCUCUAAAUGGAGAAGAAAUGAUUCUGGGUCAUAAAUGGAAAAUGACUCUAGGUCGAGAGCUCAGGGCUCUAAAUGGAAAAUAAAUGACUCUGGGUCAUAAAUAGGAAAAACGACUCUGGGUCGAGAGCUCUAGGCUCUAAAUAGAUAGCCGAUCAGGAUGCUUUCCGGCUCAUGGUGCCUGGUCAAGGCCACUUGCAAGUGGCUAGAAUGAUGAAAAUGAAACAUCUCAGGGAUGUAAAGGAUGCAAACGACUCUGGGUCAUGAGCUCAGGGCUCAAGAUGCUAUAAAUGACUCUGGGUCAUGAUGCAAUGAGUAACUCGGGGUUAUGAUGAAUAGCUCAGGGCUAUGGAUGAAAUGAAUGACUCUAGGUCAUGAUGCAAUGAGUAACUCAGGGUUAGAAUGAAUAGCUCAGGGCUAUGAGCUCCGGGCUCUAGGACUGAUCGGCAUGAAGGAGAAGGAGAAUGCGAUAUGCAAACUCCAGGUCAAACCACUCAUGGGCGACCAAAUGAUGAAGGCUUAGCUCAGGGCUGGAAAGACUCCGGGUCUAUAGGAAACGAUAGCUCAGGGCUACCAGGCUCAGGGCUUGAGGGAAAAAUGAUAGCUCAAAGCUAUAAGACUUAGGGUCUAGAAGGAAUGGAUAGCUCAGGGCCAUAAGGCUCAGGGUCUAGAAGGAAUGGAUAGCUUAGGGCCAUAAGACUCAGGGUCUAGAAGGAAUGGAUAGCUCAGGGCUACUAGGCUCAGGGCCCAAGGGAAGAAGAUAGCUCAGGAGGGCUAUAAGACUCGGGGUCUAGAAGGAAUGGAUAGCUCAGGGCCAUAAGACCCAGGGUUUAGAAGGAAUGGAUAGCUCAGGGCCAUAAGACUUAGGGUUUAAAAGGAAUGGAUAGCUCAGGGCUACUAGGCUCAGGGCCCAAGGGAAGAAGAUAGCUUAGGAGGGCUAUAAGACUCGGGGUCUAGAAGGAAUAGAUAAAGAAGACCAACUUGAAAGUAGAUAGGAAGUAAAUGGGCACCAAGGUGAAUACUCAAAAUGACAAAAGUCGGACUACUGAACUCAAUAAGGAAAAUAUGCCCCAGUAUCUAGGGUGCUCACACUGUUGAAACAACCGGUAAAUCAAUCAUCUGCUAGAAUCAAUGGGUCAAGAACCAAUACAUCAUGACAAACCUCUGAAAAGUCAAAACUGAAGGAGGCCUCUGUGUCUGAAAAACUGCUAUGUCAACGAACCUCAAAAGGCAAAUCUCAAAGUGUGUAUAUCAUGAAUUGUUUAAAAGCAAAUCUCAAAGUACACGAAAGUAAUGCUCAUCUGGAUAACCCAAUAUGCAAGGUAACAAUGGCGUAAACAAAUCUGUCUCAUGAACAUCUGGUUAAAGGACCCACCCACGCUCCUCGGGUGAAACCUGAUGCGAUUCAUCUCUAUCUCAACAAAUCCAUGUAGGGAGGCCCUGAUACAGUCGAUCGUCGGAAGCUUUGGGCUAGUACUCAAUCUAAAACCAAGCUGGCCACUGUCCCAAUCUCAAGGAUACUAAAAGAAUAUGGGGAAAUAUGCCCCAGUAUAAAAUCCGAUAUCAAAGUCAUGAGGUAAACAACUGACACUAAUCAUCCGUCCACAUACCACCGCGCGAACAAAAUCUCAUCAAGGAAAAGGGAAUGUGCCCUAGUGUGGAUAUCUGAUGUCGAAGUCAUGAGGCAAACAACUAACAAUGAUCAUUCAUCCUCGUACCACUGCCCAAACAUAAUCUCAUCAUGGAGAGGGAAAUAUGCCCCAGUAUGGAUAUUUGAUGUCGAAGUCGCGAGGUAAACAAACAACAAUGAUCAUCCAUCUAUGCACAAUCUCACAAAGGAGAGGGGAAUAUGCCCCAAUGUGGAUAUUUGAUGUACAAGGAAGAGUGUCAGAAUCAACCAAAUAUCUUUAUAACCAUGAAUAAGGAUAGCCAUACCAUACAGUAACAGAUAGGAAUCUCGGAGGAACGGGGGAAUAUGCCCUAGUGUGAAUAUAUAAUGCACAACCAAAUGAUGAAUCCAACAUCAUCAAUCAAUUGUCCUCAGCUCAACAAUGAUCUGCUAAGAAGUUAGAAUGAAGUAUCGACUGAUGCCUCAAGGGAGACAUUCUAAAUCUAAUCUCAAAGGAAUAACCAAAAUGAUGAAGGAUGUGGUAAUCUCAAGAAUAGAAGCAUGUCUCUGAUGAAUCCCAAACUAAAUAUGAUAUGAAACCAAUGACCUCAAAAAAAGGAAAUAAGCCUCAGUAUGGAUGUUUGGUGCACGACAAAAGGAUGAAUUCGAUAUCCUCAAUGAACUAUCUCCAAACCCAAAAAUCCAUCAAACAUCAAUAUGCUAUGCGAGAGAGAAACCAGAUGCUUCCAAAAGUAUCUUCCAUAAAAGAGAACAUAGUAACGACUAUACUUCAACCAAUCUGCAAAAGCCUGUCCAAGUGAAGACUGUCAAAGAUAAUGUCUGAUCUCGUGGCCUCAGGGUGGUCUUAAGACACGGGACGUAACGUAGGCCAAGGCGAUAUGGUGAAAGAAAUGAAGGGAAACUAGGCUCAAAUAUCCAAUGAUCAAACCCAUACCCUCGUGUAUAAGAUGUAAUGCAUAGAAAAAAAAUCUCAUGAGCCAUGGACUUAAAAGUAACCAAAGGAAAUGUCGAUAGUGAAAUGAGAGAAAGGAUGAAUGGUCAAACCAUCAAUGAAAUAUGUGAAUGAUGUGAAGAAGGUAUCAAAUCAGUAAUGGGUAUCAACAUGUUGGGAAUGGAUAAAAAGUGGAAUGAAGAUUUGGAAAGAGGUAAUGGGAUACAAAAGAAAGCAAUAAGAAAGUGGAAUGAGUGAUGAUCAACCCAUGUUAGUACAAUAAAGGAAAGUCAUAUCACCAAUGAUGGAAUGGUGGGUAUAAGACAAUGAUCCGGAGACCUUAGUAAGGAGAUUACUCAUCUCUCAUACCUAAUACAUAUCAACCGUGAUCUAAAAAGCAUAGGAUCUCAUAGCACUCUCACAUGAACCCUUGACACUCCAAAUGCAUAACAAGAGUGGCUCAAGAGUGAAAACUCAUAAAAAAAACUCACAAAAAACCCAUAAUGACAAAUAUACCCAAUAAAUGAACCUCAAAAGGUGGCAUAAAUGCCCAAUGGAGCGAGAUACUAUACAUGAACAUAUCAUUGCGCUUUUCUUUUCUUUUCUUUUGAUUUUUUUUUUUUACGCAUGCUCUGAUCAUCAAUAAAUCGAACUCCAACGGGAAAGAUAUAAGGAAUGAACAAACUCUCUCAAAUCAGUGAUGAAUACAUGAACCCUAUCCCAUGAGAUAACCUCUCAAACCAAAAUCUCCGAAUCAAUGUCAAAUGAUGGAAUGAAUAGAGUGAUAUGACCGUCCUUUUUGCACUAAGAUUUGAAGAAUCAUCAACCCAAGGAAGAGAAUAGAUAAGAUGAAACAAAUAAUGAUAAAAACAAGAAAGAGAAUGAAUAUGUGGUGAUAAUAAAAUAAAACAAAUGGGGUGAUAAGGAUAUGAUGGAAAGAAAGAGAAAAUAGGCCUAUAAGUCUAAAGCUCAUGAGACUUUCUUAGCAAAGCAUGCGUAUACAUCAAAGGGCCCCAACCCGAGUGUAGAAAUGGUAAUCAAGGCUAUAAGAAAAGAAAAAAAGGUUUCAGCAUACCACGUGAAGCUCAAUGUGCUAGCAACAGUCUAAUAUAUAAAGGUGAUAAAGUAUAAGGCUAACCGAAAUGAUGGCCACCCAUCCUGCAGCCACGGUCUCAAACAUAAUACUUCUUCAGCUGAUCCACAUUGGUAGACUCUGAAAAUUGGUUUCCAUCUAAGUUAGUCAACCAUGCAGCCCCUUCCGGAGUCAACUCUUGAAUAACAUAAGGCCCACUCCAACUAGGUCUAAACUUUCCUCUGGGGUCUCCAAUCAAACCUCUGAGAAUCCUCAAAACCAAAUCAUCUUUUUGUAAUGGUCUCGGCUUAACCCGUUUCUUGAAGGCACGAGCCAUCUUUCUCUAAUAGGCCUGAACAUGAUCUGCUGCUCUCAAUCUCCUCUUAUCUAAAAGGUUAAGCUGAUCAAAUCGAGCCUAAGCCCACUCUGUCUCAGAAAUCUACUGCUCAAGGGCUACUCUCAAUGAACCCAUCUCUGUCUCGAUUGGUAAAACAGCCUCCAUACCAUACACUAGGGAGUAAGGCGUAGCUCCUGUAGAGGUACGAAAAGAUGUACGGUAUGCCCAUAAUGCAAAAGGGAGCUUCUCUGACCAAUCUCGAGAAGUCUCAACCAUCUUCCUCAAAAUCCUCUUAAUAUUAUUGUUUGCAGCCUCUACUGCCCCAUUGGUCUGUGGCCUAUAUGCAGAAGAUCUAUGAUGUCGGAUGCCAUACUCCUGUAACAAAGUGUCUACCUCAGCUCGGAAGUGCGCCCCUCUAUCGGAAAUCAACUCAUGAGGAACCCCAUAGCGGCAAAUGAUGUGUGAUUUGAUGAAACUGGCAACUCUAGCAGAUGUCAACCUCGCAUAUGAUGCAGCCUCCAUCCACUUGGUGAAAUAAUCUAUGGCGACUAGGAUGAACUCAUGACCACUGGAAGAUUUUGGUGAAACCUUCCCAAUAAUAUCAAUUUCCCAUACUGAGAAUGGCCAUGGCGAGGUCAGAGCGUGUAACUCUGAUGGCGAUGCAUGUAUGAGAUCACCAUGAAUCUGACACUCUGGGCAUUUCUAAAUAAACUGACAACAAUCUGUCUCCAUAGUCAAUCAGAAAUAGCUUGUCCUCAUAAUCUUACGAGCUAGCAUGUGUCCUCCCAUAUGCGGACCACAAACUCCUACAUGAACCUCUCUCAUCACUCGAUCUACAGAGGCUCAAUCUAAACACAAUAGAAGCAUACCAUCAGCUGAUCGCCUAUAUAAGGCAUAUCCACAAAUCACAAAUCUGGUGGCUAAAUGCCUCAGUGCUCUCCGAUCCUUGGCAAUGGCUAUCUCAGGGUAUGUGCCAGAUCUAAGAAAUUGAUAAAUGUCAUGAUUCCAAGGUAGAUCAUCUUGGACCUCUAUUUCUCCAAUCAAACAACAAUAGACGGGUGCAGACCUCAACUCAAUCAGUAACGGAUGUACAACUAUGUCAAUCGGAAUGUCCACAGAGGAAGCUAGGGUAGCUAAGGCGUUGGCAAACCGGUUUUGCACUCUAGGCAAAUGAACAUAUCUCAAGUCAUCAAAUCUCGCAACUAGCAACUCUAAAUAAGCAUGAUACGGUCUAAGCUUCACAUCCCUAGUCUUCCAGUCUCCCUGAAUCUGUCUGAGCACCAGAUUGGAGUCACCAAAUACCUCCAUCUGUCUAAUGCCAAGCUUCAAUGUAGUCUCUAAACCAAGGAUACAAGCCUCAUACUCAACUAUAUUAUUCAUGAUAGGAUGUCGAUCAUGGAAUGCCAAAUGAACAGAUCUCGGAAUAUGAUCGCCCUGAGAGGAUACCAACAUAACACCUAUCCCAUACCCUAACUGAUUGGUUGCACCAUCAAAGUACAAACACCAUCCUGAUAAGCUAGUCAUAGCAACAAACUCCUCAUCUGGAAAAUCAUCAUCAAUUGGUUUAUUCUCAGAUGUCGGUAGUGAGGCUAAGUGAUCGACAACAAUACUUCCCUUAAUAGACUUAUGAGAAACGUACUGAAUAUCGAACUCUGUCAAAAGUACGAGCCAUCUCAUCAAUUUACCAGUCAAUGCAGGUCUAUCAAACAAGUAUCUCAGCGGGUCUAGACAGGAUAUCAAAUGCACUGAAUACUCUGUCAUGUAAUACCUCAAUCUCCUGGUAACCCAAACUAGUGCUAAGCAAAGGCGCUCAAUCAUAACAUAUCUCAUCUCAUACUCCAACAUCCUCUUACUCAGGUAGUAAAUAGCUCAUUUCUUUCCUGAGUCAUCAAUCUGAGCUAAUAUACAUCCUAAGGCCAUGUUUGAAACUGACAAAUAUAGAAGAAGUGGACGUCCUGGCAUAGGAGGCACUAAAACAGGAGGAGAGAGCAAAUACUCCUUAAUCUUCUCAAAUGCAAGUUGACAAUCAUCAUUCCAAACUGUUGGUCGGUUCUUCCUUAAAAGAUGAAAGAUGGGCUCACAUAUGUCUGUCAAUCUGGUUAUGAAUCGAUUAAUGUACUGUAAUCUGCCUAGAAAACUUCUGAUCUCUUUCUCAGUCUUUGGCGUAGGCAUAUCAAGUAUGGCUUUGAUUUUAUCUAGGUAGACCUCUAUGCCUCUCUCACUGACUAUAUGUCCCAAUAAUUUCCUAGAAGUCACUCCUAAGGUGCACUUAUUGGGAUUCAGCCUUAAUCUAAACUUCCGGAUCCUCUCAAAGAAUCUCUUUAGAGCAUCUAGGUGAUCUGCUCUACCUCGGGAUUUCACAAUCAUAUCAUCCACAUAAACUUCAACAUCCCUAUGCAUCAUGUCAUGAAACAAAGUAGUAGCGGCUCUUUGAUAAGUGGCUCAUACGUUCUUCAACCCAAAUGGCAUAACCUUGUAACAAUAGGUACCCCACUCAGUAAUAAAGGCUAUCUUCUCCAUAUCCUCUGGAGCCAUCAAAAUCUGAUUAUACCCUGAAAACCCAUCCAUGAAAGAAAACAUCGAAUGGCCUGCGGUGCUAUCGACCAACAAAUCAAUGUGUGGGAGAGGAAAAUCAUCUUUAGGGCUGGCUUUAUUAAGAUCUCUGAAGUCAACACAAACCCUAACUUUGCCAUCCUUUUUGGGAAUAGGGACGACAUUAGCCAACCACUCUGGAUACUCAACCGUUGAUAUGAACCCAACACUGAGCUAUUUUUAAAUCUCCUCUUUUACUUGCAGACUCCAACAUGGAUGCAAUCGUCUCAAUUUCUGCUUAACUGAUCUGACAUGUGGUAGGGUAGGUAAAUGGUGUUGGACUAUAGAGGGGUUGAGACCAAGCAUGUCUUCAUAAGACCAUGCAAAGACAUCCAAGUAUGACCUAAGUAGGUGAAUGAGUCUAUCCUUCUCAUCUGUAGAUAUUGGUGAACCAAUCUUCAGCUCUUUAGGUUGAUCCUCUAUGCCAAAAUCAAUAGUCUCCACGUCCCCUACAGCAGAUGAAACUCUCUCAUCUAUGGGAUCAGAGUCAUGAUCAAAAGAGUCCCUAUCCAAACCGGGUUGUGCAAUCUCAUCAUCUAUAUCAAAUAUCUGUGUAAUGGGUGAAUGGGGUGCAGAUAUAGAGAUACUAUCACAAGAAACAGACAAAUACUAAAAAAUGCUCAAAUCCAUAAAUGAAGCAAUAGAAACAUCGUCAGAGAGGAAGACAAAUCCCGAUAAAACAUCAAAAGAAAGAGGUGGGUCCACAAGGUCGGACGCUCCUUCAAUUGGGCUAACAAUGCCCUCAAACAAACUACUAUCAUCCUCUGGAAGCUCUAGAACAUGAAUAGUCUGGGUCUCUUCAAGAACCUCAAUGGUAGAUACCCCAAACAUAUCAAAUGGUGAAACAGGCUGAAGUUGAACAAUGCUGGUAAUCUGGCUCACGGUCAUCAUGUCCAUCUCAUCUUGGUACUCAUCAUGGGGAACAACUCCAUCAAUCAUCUCACUAGGAUCAACAAUCACCCCAUCGCCAGUGAUCUCCUCUGGGAAGCAUAGAGACAACAUGCUAGCUCGAUCUGGAGACGUGGCAGUAAUCACCAUAGGGAAAGAAGUGUCGGGAGCCCCAUCACUCAAUUGUAACUGGUGAAACAGAUGCUGAAGCUCGGUCUCUCUAUCUGUAUGAACCAUACUAUCAAUCUCCUCUAGACGAGGUCGAGUCUCUGAUCCUCUGACAAAGUAGUCAGCCAAACUCAUCCUAUAGGGUCGAAUAGGGUAAUCAAAUGGUGUGUGGGAUAAACAGGCCCUCACCCUCUCACUGCGCAAUUGAGCCAUGUAACGGUAAUCGACCUCGGUAGGGAUGAAUCCAAGUCCAAAUGUCAUAUCAUGAUUAAUGGUAGCUAUGAACUCGAUAGGUCCCUGCUGACGUCACCUUAACCCCAUGCCAGGUAGAAAGGUCAUACCCCUCAUCAUAUCUAGAACCACUGUGCUACUGUGCUGAUCAAAAGACAUAACUAUAAAAUCUCUGCAAAAAUCCUCAAUCUCAAGAAUCUGUAUCUCAUCAAAAGUAAACCCAGUCAGAAGUAGGUCGUCCUCACUGUGACUAAUCUGAAGUACUGGCUCAGAAGCGGCAAAUAUAUCCCUGGUAGACUGUAUUGUGAUGACCUGCCCAUCAUGAAUGAACUUCACUUUCUGAUGAGGGAAGAAGGAAUAGCUCCAGCUAUAUGAAUCCAUGGUCGGCCUAGUAGUAGGUUAAAGGAUGUAGGAAUCCUCAAAACCUGGAACAAAGUGGAGAAUGUGGUUGGACCAAUCUGCAAAUCAAUCACCAAGGUACCCAUAACCUCCCUCUUGGUGCUAUCAUAUGCCCUGACUGUCUGAGUAGAAGGACCAAAAUCUGAAGGCGCGAAACCAAGGGCUAUAGUAGUGGCUAAAGGGUAGACAUUCAAGGUUGAGCCGUUGUCCAGUAGGACAGAUGAGACUCUAUGGCCUGAACAUCCAACUGUGAUAUAUAGAGGGCGUACGUGGUCUGAACCGUCAGGUGGCAAGUCAUCAUCUGAGAACACAAUGCAAGUGGCCCUGCCCGACGUCAUCAUAUGAAUCAAUCCCUCUGGAGUGGUGGUUGUCUCUACUCUGAUCUGACUCAAUGCUCGAAUUAAAGCAUCUCUAUGAGUACUGGAUGAUGCUAAUAGACUUCAGAUGGAAAUACGAGCCUGAGUGCUCUGUAGUUGUCUCAAAACCUUAUCAUCCUCUCUCCUAACCUCCUCAUGAGAGGCUGCACCCUCAAAUGGUCUGACUGCUGGUGGCGGUGGCUGAGCUAUCCUUCCACUACGAGUCACAAUCUGUAUCUCUCUCCCCUUUAAAUCAUCAUCCUCUGGCCAUAAGGUGAAUGGGACAAAAGUAUCCUGACAUCCAAUAACCAAGGGUGUAGAAUAAGUCAACUGGAAUUGUGUCUCGUCUGGGAUCAAACUAAAUGGUGUAGGAGCCUGAGGACCCAAUGAAACCCCAUCAACCUCAUAAUUGUCAUGCAAAACAAUCGGCUCAAGUAGUCCAUCAUCCCAACUCAACAUGUGUAUACUGUCAUCCUCUAUAAGGUCCAUGUGAUGAAUAUCUCCUAGAGAUGGAGACACUGCGUGUGUAGAAUGAGCAGGAAGAGGGUUAGUGGUUACACUUGGCUACUCCAAGUUGACCAAACCCUGGUCUAUCAAAUCUUGCAUAGCAUGUCUCAAAGCAGUGCAAUGGUCUGUGUCAUGUCCUGGUCCUUGAUGGUAGGAACAAUGUAAGUCCAUCCUGAAGCGAGGAAGUAUGGGCUGGGCUAAAGGCCUGGAUGCUAAUGGAAUCAAUAAUCCACCCUCUGUGAGCUUCUGAAAAGCUCGACUUAAAGGCAUACCCAACUGAGCAAACUGACGUGGUGGCCUCUACACAUAAGUAGUGGUCUGCGGAGCUCGGGGUCGAGUAUAUGGGGCAGGAGGCCUCUCUGCGAUGUGUGCAGCAAAAACAGGCUGUGAGACUGAAUGUAGAUAGGUAGGAGUUAGAGGUCUGGAAGGAGCAGGUGGCCUGUAAUGCGCAUGAGGUGAGGGUGGAUAGUAGAACCCAGGAGUCUUCCCAACUGUCUGAUAGCGUUUAGAAGGUCUCAUUCCUACUGAACUAAUAGCACCAAAAUCUCCUGAUCUCUGUCCUCCUGAAGGCUUUUUUCCCUUAGAAUCAGUAGGGGAAGACUCAGACCAUAAUCCUCUAGCGAUGCCCUUAUCUAUACCAUACAAAGCCUGUACCAAAGAUCUAAAAUCCGUAUGAAGAAAUCCCAUCAAGUGUCUAGCGAAUCUAGGUUGCAAACUCCUCAUGAUCAUGCUAAUCUGAUCUCUCUCUGAAGGACGGUCUAUAAUCUGUGAAAUCUUCUCCCUCCAGCGGGAGAUAAAUGAAGUGACUGACUCCUCCGACCUCUGUCUUAAAGCCUCCAACUCUCUUCUCGAAACAUCAAUGAUAGUGUUAAACGCAAACUGUCUAAAAAACUCUUGGGCUAGAUCAUCCCAAGUCCUACGGCGUGAUACGUCUAAUGAAGCGAACCAAUGCUGUGCUGCACCACUCAGUGACAUAGGGGAAAGCAUAACCAGCUGGGCCUCAUCCAGUCCUUGGGCUCUCAUAACAGUACUAUAGAGUCUCAAAUGGAUGCAAACACAACCUAUGUUUGUGUAUCUCUCAAUCUCAGGUAUCCUGAACUUGGCUGGUAAACUGGCCACUAGUGCUCCAUCAAAAUCCUUCCAAGUAAUAGCUUCAUCUGAAGUCUUCAUCUGUCUCAACCUCUGCUCAAGUCUGUCUAUACGAGCAUGUGGGUCCUUUGAGAUCGGGGUAGGCACUAUGGUAGGAGGUGGUGCGACCUUAGUAUGACUUUGCAAGUAAAAGGUACAGUCUGUGGUGUUGGCUAACUGUGCGGAGGUGGUGGUGGUACUGUGGUAUCAAACUGGGUAUCCUCCUGAACUGGGACCUGUUGGGCCUACUGCCCAUCUAUCCUCUGUCCAAGGCUGGCUAAAGCUUCCUGGAUCGAAGCCAUGGUUGCAGCAAACUGGUCAAUAGUAACUAUAUGAGAAUCCAUAUCCCCCUGAUCUGAUAUCUGGUCUGACUGGUCUGAUGCUCUGGUCAAUCUGCCUCGAACUCUAAUCCACGAAGGUGAAUCCAAACUGGUCACGACAAACUCUCCUUCAAAUAUGGAAACACUGGAUAAGGUGCGGUACGAAGAUGACUCUGUAUGAAUCAUAUUGAUAAGUGUGCAGGAAAAUAGCCCAAAUGUACUCAAUCCGAUACCCUCCUCUGAUUACACUAGAAAGAGACUAAGGAAGGGAUAACUGAAUCCAAUCGUGACCAAGACAGCUCUGAAGGUCCAUAGAUGCACCCACGUAUAGGAAUGAAAUCUUAAUUGGGUUUAGGCUAAACUACAAGGUUAAGGCUGUCUAUAAGAUAAAAUGGGUGGGUCAAAGGAUCCCUAGCAGAAGCGAUCGUACCCUCUGGCGGUAUGCAACCCUCUGCACGCCUCCAAAGAGACGGGGUGCUUCUAUGCAAGGUGGUCAUCACCUCCACACAUGCACUUCCUUGUGUUCCUAGGGGGUUUCUUUAAGGUGAAGGCUCUCCCAUCUCUCAACACUCAAGGAUAAUCUAAAGUGCACAAUGAAGGAUGUGGGUGCAUCUGAAAAACCUAACAUCUAAAGUGAAAUAGUGAACAAAGACAAGCAAUCAUACAAUCAUGUAAGAGAAAGGGUUGUCAUGCAACAAGCAGUCAUACCAAGCAGAUAAGUAUCAUACAAUCAAAGUCCUAUCUAGCAUAUGUGAGAGUGAAUCAUGCUGAAGUGAGCAAGCAAUCAAGUGAUCAUUCAAGGCAAUCAAACAUGUUAAGACAACAAACCAAACAAGCAAGCAAAUUAAAUCACCUUGCCUUAAAAAAAUGGGGUACCCUCUAAUCGACCAAUUAAACGCCACAUUUUCCUUAACUAGUGUUCAAGCUUGAUCCUCAAAAUCCCCAGUGGAGUCGCCAAUUUGUGGACCCGCAUUUUUCACGUGCGCCCCCACUCGAUCGGCGAGACUCGCUUUUAUUUAUGAAAAAUUAAUUUUUGGAAAAGUAGGAAUCGCCACUUAUUUUAUUUUAUUUUUGAAAGGGAAAAUAAAACAAGAAAUAAAACCCUAAAAAAUGACUCCAUAAUUUUUGGAAAAGUGUCUUUGAAAAAUCCGAGUCUAAGUUCGGGGAUCAGGUUACUUAUUGGGAAGGUACCUCUAAGAGGUAGCACUCCUCUAAGCACUAUAAAGGUCUCUAUUGACAAAGUUAAAGGAAGUGUGGCAAUUAAUUAGUUAAUUAUGGGUACCUAAGUAGAUUAAGGUGAUUUAAAAAAAAAAAAAAAUAGCAUGCCAAUCAAGAUCAAAUCACAAUAAAGGAAGGUUAGGAUGCGUACCCGGACCGCUUUUCAAGCGCUAUUGUAAAACAUCAAUGGUUAAUUUAAACAAUAUAUCAUCCAACAUGUAUUUGAUUAGAAAUAAUCAAACAAUGAAACAUGUAUAUCGGAACACCCAAGUAUUCUCCAGCAUAGGCAUAGUUCUCAGUGACAAUCAUGUUUACAAAACUUAGAAAGUAGGUGAUAGGGGACGUACCUGGAUAACAUAGAUAACUUACAAUGCACUUCCAUAAGACAUGAGGGAUUAGAUAAUAAUAAAAUAAAGAAACCCUAGCAUGCUUGUUAUCUAAUUAGCAUAACAAAAAUUAUCAAAGUAUAUGAAAACAUUAAUUAUCACACACAUCUUGUAUACAAUUCCUAAAAAAGAUAGACAUAAUUUCAACAAGUGACAAAGGUGGCAACAAAAAUAAUUUUUGAAAAGAUUUUCUUAUGUAGGGGUUUCACCAAUUCCCCAAAUUAAUAUACACUAAUUUAGCCCAGAAUUAUCCCAUUAUUUAGGAUCACAAGCUUUGAUUCGUGUUUUUGUUCAAAACUAAGAUUUUUGUUGAAAACCGAGAAGGAUGCAAAUCGAACAAGAUAUGGUUGCAUAUUAUUUUUAAAUAAAAAAAAAAAGAGAUUUUGAUCCUGAGGACUCUAAAUGAGUUUUUGAAAUAGAUUUUUAAAAUGAUUUUUUGAGAAAAGUAUUUUAUUUUAAAAUAAAAUGAAUUAAUUUGAAAACACUAAAAUAUAAGAAAUAAAAUACCAAAGGAAACAGAAGGAAACGAAUUCACAAAAUAAAGAUUUUAAAAAUCAUGUAAACUAAAGUGGUGAUAACAUAGGCCAAUCUUCAUUAUUAUUCGAUGGCCUCUGAAAAGUGAAUUUUGCAAGAGACUACCAGAGUAACGAACUAUUCAAACUUAGAUCAAAUAAGCUAAUGAGACAUUCAUCAAAAAUUAAAGACUAGUAUUCAGGAAACACAUAAAUUGAGCAUAACAAUCAAGAAUUAACAUAAGAUUGGCUAAAUACACAAGUACACCUAGAUUUAAAAAAUAAAAAUAAAUCAAAACUAUACUCAAUUAGAAUAAAAAACAUAAGCUUUAUGUGAUGGGAUUAAGUAAACUGUUGGAUUAAAAUCAUUAACAAGAUUAAAACUAAGCUAUGCUAUAAUUUAAGACAUAAGUUUUAUUUAACAAAAAUUAAUUAAACUAUUAAAUUACAACCACAAAUGCAUCCAAACUAAAAAAAGAUAAAUUAUAACAAAGCUAAAUCGAAAUUAAAAAUAAAUAAAUAAAUAAAUAAAUAAAUAAAUAAACUUUUUCUAAUAAGGUUAUUUUAAACUAAUGAAUUAAAAUCAAUAACACAUUUAGACUAAAUCAUAAAUCAAAACUAAACUAAUUCAGGAUAAAAAAAAUGUAAACUUUAUUUGACAGGAUUAUUUAAACUAAGGAAUUAAAACUACAAACACACUGAAACAAAAAGGUAGGUUAAAACUGAAUUAAUUCAUAAUAUAAAUCUUAUCUAACAGAAUUAUUUGAAGUAAUAAAUUUAAAUUAUAAACAUAUUUAAACUAAUAGAUAAAUUUAAAAUCAACUAAUUUGGGAUAAAAAAAAUAUAUGAACUUUAUUCAAUAUGAUUAUUUAAAGUAUAGAAUUAAAAUCAACAAAAUACAUUUGAACUAAAAACGAAUUGAAAUCAAACUAAUUGGGAUUAAAAAUACAAACUUUAUUCAAUAUGAUUAUUUAAACUUAAGAAUUAAGAUCAACAAAAUACAUUUAAACUAAAAAACGAAUUGAAAUCAAACUAAUUGGGGUUAAAGAUAUAAACUUUAUUCGAUAUGAUUAUUUAAACUUAAGAAUUAAGAUCAACAAAAUACAUUUAAACUAAAAACGAAUUGAAAUCAAAUUAAUUGGGAUUAAAAAUACAAACUUUAUUUAACGUGAUUAUUUAAAGUAAAGAAUUAAGAUCAACAAAAUACAUUUAAACUAAAAAUGAAUUGAAAUCAAACUAAUUGGGAUUAAAAAUACAAAGUUUAUUUAACGUGAUUAUUUAAAGUCAAGAAUUAAGAUCAACAAAAUACAUUUAAACUAAAAACGAAUUGAAAUCAAACUAAUUGGGAUUAAAAAUACAAACUUUAUUCAAUAUGAUUAUUUAAACUUAAGAAUUAAAAUCAUUAACAAACUUAAACUAAAAGAUAGAUUGGAAUUAAACUAAUUGGAGGUUUAAAAAGAAAAUAAUAUAAACUUUAACACAAAGAAUUAAUCAAAAACUAAAAUUUCCAAAAAAAAAUCUAGGCUAAAUAAAAGUACUAUAUAGAAAACUAACCUUUGAAGUGAAAGAGAAAAUCCUCUCUUGAUGAUUAAAUGGCAGCCCGAUCUCCGUCCGAAGUCCCUUGUUUUUUUCCAAAAUUCCGUGUGCUCUCUUUAAAAAAAAAAAAAUUCUGCUUUAUGCUUGAAUCUCUCAAAAAAACCCCUUUUAAAAAAUUCCUAUUGUUCUCUCUAUCCCCCAGAAAAUAAAAAUCUCUAACUCCCUUUUUUUUUUUUUUUUUAUCUCAUGAUGGCAGUCUACUCCUUAUAUGGCUGUGAGAGAUUCCCCAUUUUUUUUUUCCUUCUUUUUCCAAUCUCCCCAUUCAAAAACAAUCCUCCCAAUUUCAAACUUCCUCUCCAAAACCUUCCAAGGAGAGUCCCACUUUCCUUAAACUUCAAUGGUAAGUUUCCUUCCAAAAACAUGAAAUUUUUUAAAUUAAAUAAUUGAAUGAAUAAAUAAAUGAGUAGAUAAUUUAGAAAACGGUAAAACAAUAAUAAAUAAAUAAGUUAAUUAGAAUAAUAUAAAGAGGAAGAUAACCAAUAAAAAGUGAAUGGUAAUCAUAAAACUAAAACUAAAAAAAAUAAAAAUAAACAAAUUAACAAAAACUGGGCCCCACGAGCCAUGCAACCGUGCAAGUGAUACAAAACGUGAGUCUAAAAGUGCCUAUUAGGCCAAGUGUAUCUAAAUGGGCCUAAGGUGAGACUAGGUGGGCCUAACUAAAUGGGCCUAUGGUGCCUAAAUGAGCCUAGGGUGUUUAAGUGGGCUUAAGGUGCCUAAGUAGGCCUAGUGUAUCUAAAUGGACCUAAGGUGCCUAAAUGGGCCUAGUGUAUCUAAAUGGGCCUAGGGUGCCUAAGUGGGCCUAGGGUACCUAAGUGGGCCUAGGGUGCCUAAAUGGGCCUAAGGUGGUGCCUAAUGGGCCAAGUGUAUUUAAGUGAAGCCUAGUCUAAAUCAAGAUUGCCAAGGAUCACAAUAAGGGGUCAGAUAAAUCUCUUAACCAAAGUCUUCGAUGUGGCUAAAAAAAGGUAGGUAGUAUGAGUAGCAAUGGGCCACCAAGAAACUACUGUGGAGCACUGAAAACGAAUUUAAAGACAUGUGCUAAAAGGACAAAAUUGAGGGUCUACAUCACCACUUAUUUAUUCCCUUCAUAUUGAAUCGAUGUGUGAGAGAAACAGAGAAUUCCAUGGAGGCUAGUGUUAAGGCAAUUAUCACAACUAUUGAUCGACGUAAUUUAGUAUACAUUGCUAAUCCAUUAUCUAAUAGCAUAAGCUGUAGGAUUAAGUGGUAAUCAACAUUUACUAAGGUUGGAAUUCCUAUCUUAUCUUGGUAAGGUAGAUGACUUCUUCUCUCAAUUUAUGGGGCCAAGGGAAGCACCCUACAACUAAGGUGAAUGGUUUCCCAAGUCCCAAAAUUGCUAAGUUAAUUUAUUGAUGCAAGAGAGGCUUCCCCUUCCAUCAACAAGCUUAAGAGGGUAUUUCCAUCACUUUGCUUCUUUUUUCCAUGUUCGAGCUAUAAGGUAAACAUGGGGUGCUAUUCCCUUCCAAUUUUGUUUCCAUGUAUUAAUAUUGUUGGAGAAUAUAGUUGCAAACUAGAAGAAUAUAGUUGGAGGAAUGGGACAUGCUUUUGUAGAUGGUGUCUCAAACUCAAUUCCCAUGCUUAAACUUUUUGAGUUAAAUUGUAGUUUAAAAUAGUGUUGAAUCCUUGGCUUUUGAGGGGUCUUAGGUUUGAACCUCACCGCUUAUUUAUUCCCUUUGUAUUCCAUACAUAUGUGGGAGGAUGUGUUAAGGCAAUUAUCAUAAGUAUUAAUCACCCUAACAUACAUUGUUAAUCCACUAACUAAUAGCAUAAGCUGUUGGACUGUAACCAACAUUUUCUAAGGUUAGAAUUCCUAUCUUAUUUUGUUGAGAUAGAUGACUUCUUCUUUCAAUUUACAAGGCCAAGGGAUGCACUCAACAACUAAGGCAAAUGGUUUCCUGAGUUCCAAAUUGCUAAGUUAAUUUGCUGAUGCAAGAAAGGCUUCUCCUUAUACCAACAGAUUAACAUAGGGCGCUAAUCCCUUCCAAUUUUGUUUCCAUGCAUUGAGAAAAAAAAAAAAAAAAUCAACUUAGAGUGUUUUACCCCAUGGCUUUGGUGUAACUCUGUAAGGUAGUUGGAUGCAUAGCAUGCUAGUAUUGUAGAUACACCUAGCAGUUUCUUGUAACCUUUUUCUUGGUCAUCACCUUGGAAAUUUAUGCAGAAGUGGUCAAAUGGCCACAAAUUAAAAUUACUUCUCUCUCUCUCUCCUGCACAUAAAUACACAUCAUUUUUUGCUCAGUCUUUGUGAACUAUAGUUCCCUCAUUAUUAGAAUUCUGUUAAUUCCUCAUAUUAGUUUAAGAUUUUAAUUUUUUGAUUUAUCUAUUUAUUUAUAUCUUUGUAUUGGAAGAUGUAAGAUAUGUUGGAUAUUUGUAUUUUUGUAACUUCAAUAGUUCUUUUUUUUUCCUGCAGCAAGAAGAAAGCUUAAGCUUAAGGUUCAUGUUGUAUAUAUAUGCUUUACAUAGUUUGAUUGUACACCAAGUGUUUGUUUGCUUCGGUUUGUAGUCUAUGAUAUAGGUUUCAUACUUAGUUGCCUACCAUUUAUUUAUUUUUAUUGCAAUUUUCAUAAUUACCAUAUAUUCUUUUUGUUUUCUGCUUUGUAAAUUGAUUUUUGAGAUUGACAUCUCAUUUUAACAUGUACUUUUAUAAUAUGCUAUGUUUAUUACAUAUUCAGACUCAGGUCAAUGGUGUGUUCCUUUUUGCUACAAUGUGCUCUCUUUAAAGUUAGUGGCUUUGCUGCAGUCUGAGCAUAACUAAACCCAUAGUACAUGUAUUGCAGAAAACACCUACAUUCCACAGUUUAUUGAAAAGAUGGCAACAUAUUACCUGUGCAGAGCACUUCAACAGGUCACUGUAGCUAGAAUUUUGAGCUGAGAACAUCAAACGUGCAGCCCUUAAAUGCAGCUUCUUUGUUGUGUGGUGAAUUUUUCGCUCAUAUAUACUGCUUUGCGUUUGUCUUCUAUGUGUGCCAUGGUUAUUAUCACAAUAUCCAACAAUA